UGGGGAAUAUUGCGCAAUGGGGGGAACCCUGACGCAGCCAUGCCGCGUGAAUGAAGAAGGCCUUCGGGUUGUAAAGUUCUUUCGGUAUUGAGGAAGGUUGAUGUGUUAAUAGCACAUCAAAUUGACGUUAAAUACAGAAGAAGCACCGGCUAACUCCGUGCCAGCAGCCGCGGUAAUACGGAGGGUGCGAGCGUUAAUCGGAAUAACUGGGCGUAAAGGGCACGCAGGCGGUUAUUUAAGUGAGGUGCGAAAGCCCUGGGCUUAACCUAGGAAUUGCAUUUCAGACUGGGUAACUAGAGUACUUUAGGGAGGGGUAGAAUUCCACGUGUAGCGGUGAAAUGCGUAGAGAUGUGGAGGAAUACCGAAGGCGAAGGCAGCCCCUUGGGAAUGUACUGACGCUCAUGUGCGAAAGCGUGGGGAGCAAACAGGAUUAGAUACCCUGGUAGUCCACGCUGUAAACGCUGUCGAUUUGGGGGUUGGGGUUUAACUCUGGCGCCCGUAGCUAACGUGAUAAAUCGACCGCCUGGGGAGUACGGCCGCAAGGUUA
rnacentral:rRNA from 1 species